UUCAAAGUUUGCUGCAGUCAAAGUCACUGCAGUUGUUGGAGCUUUGCGUAAAAGGGAAGGAAGAACAGACAGGCUGUACUCAGAAGGAGAAGCAGAGCGACAGUGUCCGUGCUGGAUGUGAAGAUGGGGCACACUUUGCUCUGUGUGCUGGGGUUAUUCUUGCUGAAUACACUCCUCUACGGACACGCUGAAGGGCAGGAUGAAGAUCAAGAGAGGAGCGCUGACGACUCUGUGGGGACAGGACCAACAGGUGAUGCAGUCAGUUACAACAGUCUGG